rnacentral:rRNA from 1 species
UACGGGGGGGGUAAGCGUUGUUCGGAAUUACUGGGCGUAAGGGGCUCGUAGGCGGCCAACUAAGUCAGACGUGAAAUCCCUCAGCUUAACUGGGGAACUGCGUCUGAUACUGGAUGGCUUGGAUUCGGGAGAGGAAUGCGGAAUUCCAGGUGUAGCGGUGAAAUGCGUAGAUAUCUGGAGGAACACCGGUGGCGAAGGCGGCAUUCUGGACCGAUAUUGACGCUGAGGAGCGAAAGCCAGGGGAGCAAACGGG